GACGAACGCUGGCGGCGCGCUUAACACAUGCCAGUCGAACGGAAAGGCCCUGCUUUUGUGGGGUGCUCGAGUGGCGAACGGGUGAGUAACACGUGAGUAACCUGCCCUUGACUUUGGGAUAACUUCAGGAAACUGGGGCUAAUACCGGAUAGGAGCUCCUGCUGCAUGGUGGGGGUUGGAAAGUUUCGGCGGUUGGGGAUGGACUCGCGGCUUAUCAGCUUGUUGGUGGGGUAGUGGCUUACCAAGGCUUUGACGGGUAGCCGGCCUGAGAGGGUGACCGGCCACAUUGGGACUGAGAUACGGCCCAGACUCCUACGGGAGGCAGCAGUGGGGAAUAUUGCACAAUGGGCGGAAGCCUGAUGCAGCAACGCCGCGUGCGGGAUGACGGCCUUCGGGUUGUAAACCGCUUUCGCCUGUGACGAAGCGUGAGUGACGGUAAUGGGUAAAGAAGCACCGGCUAACUACGUG
rnacentral:rRNA from 1 species